rnacentral:pre_miRNA from 1 species
CUACUACUCCCUCCAUCCGGAAAUACUUGUCAUUGAAAUGGAUGUAUCUAGAUGUAUUUUAGUUCUAGAUACAUCCAUUUUGAUGACAAGUAAUUUCAGACGGAGGGAGUACUAG